GGUGCGCCUGCGCGCGUGCCUGGAAAUGUGGCGUAUGGGAGGCCGCGUGCCGUCGGCGAAGUCCACGGAGCAAGUCCCCUUGAUUGGGGCGAGCGUAAUGCGACCAAAGCGGGUGCGAGUCCCGUAGCCCGUGGUAACUGUCGUUUCGGAGUGCGGUCUCUCGUGAGUCGGGUUGCUUGAGAGUGCAGCCCUAAGAAAGGUGGUAAACUCCAUCUAAGACUAAAUACGACCUCGAGACCGAUAGCGAACAAGUACCGUGAGGGAAAGUUGCAAAGAACUUUGAAGAGAGAGUUCAAGAGUACGUGAAACUGUUCAGAGGAAAACGGGUGGGCGUUCGAACCCCCCCUUUGGCGGCGAAUCUUUUACCCGGAUUCAGUCCGUCGCUCGUUCCGGCGAGUGUGAUCGUUCGCCAGUCGCCGUAUCGGUGUCCCUAUUCGGAGAUCCGGUAUGUGUUCGUGGCGGCGUUUCGGUCUUCUUCCGGGAUUUGUGGCGGACGCAUUUCCGUGGUUACUUCGCCGCCCGAGUAUAGGGCGCUGCGACCGAUCGGGCACCAAAAGAGUGCCGGCCAUGGGCCGAGUUUAGCGGUUAGGAGCGCUGUUCGCGAGCGYGGGUUUCUGGCCCRCGCGAGUGUCAGUUUGCUCCUCCGGCUCGGCGUUAACUAUGGUCGGUCGUCCGAUCGGUGUGU
rnacentral:rRNA from 1 species